GUCAGCUCUUCAUCCUUUACAUCAUUAACCCCAGGUCUCAAAAAAAAAAGUGGACCUCAACCAAGGAAGAGGAUAGUUGGACAAAAUUGGGUGCAGGUGGGGGAGGAACAUUUCAUUUGGGACCAACAGCAUGUGCAAAGACCCUGUGGUAGAAGGGGGUGAAUGUGGCAGAAGUGUAGUGAGUGAGGGGAGACUGGAGAUGGGGGCGGGGAGCAGGGCCAGAGCACACAGGGUCUCGUGGGCCAUGGGAAAGAUUUGGGUCAUUAUCUGCAGAGCAAUGAGAUGCUCGUGAAUGAUUUUAAGUGGUCAAGUGUGCAAGGGGUAAAUGAUAAGACUGGGGCUUUUGCAGCUUUACCCUGGCUGUUGUGUGGAGAAUGAAGUGGAGAGAAGAGCAAGGAGGUACUGCCGUUAUCUAAGGGAGGAAUGAUGGCUUGCACAAGGGCGGUGGCAGCACAGAUGGAGGUAAGUGGAUGGAUGUGAACUAUAUUGAGGAGGAAAAGCUGGGAUUGGAGUUAGAUUGGAUGUGGAGACAGCAAGACAGAAAAAGGCCUGAGGGGCUGGGUGCAGUGGCUCACACCUGUAAUCCCAGCACUUUGGGAAGCUGAGGUAGGUGGAUCACUUGAGGUCUUUGAG
rnacentral:lncRNA from 1 species